AUGUAUUAAAUGUUCUAUUAAGGAAAUUAAAUCUAAUAAUAAAAAUGAUAAAAAGAAGUGAAACUUCAAUCAAAGUAUGAAAAUAUAAAAAAAAAAUUAAGUGAAUUGAAACAUCUAAGUAACUUAAAGAAGAAACCAACAGGGAAUAUUAAAGUAGUGGCGAACGAAAUAAUAUGAGUCUGUAAGUAAUAUUAAAAAAUAUGAAUAAAGGUAAUCUAAACCUAAGACUAAAAAUAUUAUUAAGAGUAAGUACCGUGAGGGAAAUAAUUGAAAUAGUGGAAUAUACAGCAGUCAUAGUAUGGCGUACCUUUUGUAUAAUGGGUCAGUUAGUUAUUAUAAUUAGCGAAAUUAUAAAAAAUUGUAAGUAAUCUGAGAAUAAUCAAUUUAAAGUUAAUUAUAAUAGACCCGAAAGCAUAUGAUCUACACAUUUCCAAUUAUAUAAAAAUAAUAAUUAUUGAAAUAUGAAUAUAGGAGUGGUUGUAGCAAUAACCUUUUGAGAGAGGUGUGUAGUAGUGAAAGACAAACCUGAUAUGCAGAUAGCUGGUUUUAAGCGAAAUCUAUAUUAGUAGAGCCUUAAUAAAAAUAAAAGCUGGUACAGCACUGAUAACUUAUUGGGGAACUUAAACAUUUUAUCAAUAGUUAUUAAACUCGGAACAGCAUACCAUAAAAUUAAGAGUCAGACUUGCUGCGAUAAGGUAGUAAGUCGAAAGGGAAACAGCCCAGACUACAUAAAUAAAAGCCCGGAAAUUGAAUUAAGUGAAAUAAAUAAAAAGAAUAUAGGUAGACAAUUAGUCAGCGGGUUUGACAAUAAUCAACUGUUAAUGUACAUGUAACAAUGCACUAAUGUGACAUAUUCUUUUGAUAAGAUAUAUUGGUCUAAAUUCAAUGCUUUAAAGUAGGAAAUAAGGUAGCUUAAUAUAUAAUGAAAUAUAUAAAAAAAAUAAUUAUAAAGAAACUGCUGACUUGAGUAACGAUAGAUACUAAUAGAGUAUCCUCCAAAUCUAUAAGGUUCUUUAACAUAAAUGAUCAGUCUCUAAAUUAAAAUUAGAAAUAAUUUAAUGAUGAGUAAAUUAAACAAGAAAAUUUAAAUAAACUGUACCGUAGACCGACACUGGUAUAGAAAUAAGGAGAAUGAGAUAACUAUAUUGAAUGAACUCGGCAAAAAGUAAAAAUAAAUUACAAAUCGUGCGACUGUUUACCAAAAACACAGCUUAUUGCAGAUUAGUAAUAAUUAGUAUAAUAAGUGAAAUCUGCUCAGUGUCUCUUAAUAAAUUUAUAUUACAAAAUUAAUAUAAAUAAAAAAUAGAUAAACAGCGGUCUUAUCGUGAGGAUCCAAAGGUAGCGAAAUUCAUUGUCCAAUAAUUAUGGUCCCGCAUGAAUGAUUAAACGAUGCGAUAACUGUAUCCAAUAUAGACUCAGUGAAAUAGCAAUCGCGGUGAAGAUGCCGUGUUUCCAUAGGUUGACAAAAAGACCCUAUGCAGCUUUACUAUAGUUUGAUAUUGAUAGUUUAUUUUAUUAUUAUUUAGUAAUUAGAUUUUCGAAUGAAUUCAUUGAGAUAUCUAUUUUUAAUAUUUAAACAUCUUAUCUUAUUAAUAUUAAUUUAUUUUAAAUUAUAAGAAACAUUGUCAAAUGGUUAGUUUCGAUGGGGAGUCGACAUCAGAGAAAGCAUCUGAUGUGUCUAUUUAAAAUUAAUAUAUAAAUUAAUUUUUUUAAUUAAUAAAAAGAACCAGUACAGAUAUAUUAUUUGGUAAAUAAUUAUUUAUUUUCAAUUAUGAAAAUAAUUACUUUUUUAAGUAAAAAAUGUAAGAAUAACAGCAUUACUGUGCAAAAAUAAUAACACAAACAAGUGGAAUUAAUACUUAAGUAUGGUGUAGUGAACAGGUAUCAUCUAAAGAUUUAGGAUAUCGAUAACGGAUUAAAGUUACGCUAGGGAUAACAGGUUAAUACCGCGUGAGAGUUGAUAUCGUCAGCGGUGUUUGACACCUCGAUUAAAUAACCAUAGUCGAGUUUAAAUGGAGUUAAUUGCAAGAAAGUCUAAGGUUUUUAACUAUGAUAAUUUGCAGCGAAAUAUAUUAUAUACAAUUUAUUUAUAAGUAAUAUAAACGUUCAACGACUAGUAGGUGAGUAGUAUAACAAUAAUCCUACCACGAAAUUUCCAGAAAAUUAUAUUUUUUUUUAUAAUUUUUAAGACAUAGUCUGAUCUAUAUUCUCUUAUUUUUGAGAUAUAUUAAUUAUUUUAUUCUUAUUUAUACAGAUAUAAUUAAUAUAAGAAAUAUAUAGAAAUAUUUUAUCCUAUUUUAGGAAAAUAUUUAAAUAAUUUAUUUUAAUUAUUUAAUAUUUAUUAAAAAAAAAAUAUAAUCUUAUUUUUAUAAGAUUUUUAUAACAAAAAUGGUCGUCUAGACUCAUCCUCUUGGUCGUAGCAGCUAGGUAGGGUAGGACUGUUCGUCCUUUAAAGAGUUACUUGAGAUGGGUUAAUUACGACGUGAGUCAGUAAUGAUUUUAUCAUCUAUGGAAUUUAACUUAUAUUAUAACCUUGAGUGUACGAAAGGAUUGCAAGGUAUUAUCCUAUAGUUAAUAUAAUAUACUUUAUUUUAUUUAAUAUUAUAAUAAUAAUAAACAGUUAUAUUCGCCAAGAUAAUAGAAAUUAUAUUUUGAAAGCAUCUUAAAAAUUAAAUUCUAUAAUAAUAAGUUAUAUAACAUAUUAGAUUAAUAUGUUUUAGUA